UACGUAGGGUGCGAGCGUUAAUCGGAAUUACUGGGCGUAAAGCGUGCGCAGGCGGUUUUGCAAGCCGGAUGUGAAAUCCCCGGGCUCAACCUGGGAACUGCGUUUGUGACUGUAUGACUAGAGUACGGUAGAGAGGGGUGGAAUUCCUGGUGUAGCAGUGAAAUGCGUAGAUAUCAGGAGGAACAUCGAUGGCUAAGGCAGCCCCUUGGACCUGUACUGACGCUCAUGCACGAAAGCGUGGGGAGCAAACAGG
rnacentral:rRNA from 1 species